GUAAACUUCUAAACAGUACUAACAAAACCUCUAAAAUUUACACUAGUUCCUUUUAAUCUAUCACUCAGUAUCAAAAGCUUUAGGUGCAAGUUUCUAGCUUAGACAGUUGAAUGAAUAGAAUUGUCGUGGCUAUCUAUCUAGCUAUCCUGUUUGUGUGUUGUCCCAUCCUUACUCUGGGUCCUUGGCGCGCUCUCCUGCCGAUCAUCUGCAAUCAGAGCUGUUCCCAGCUAUCAACUCAAGCCUCACUCCAUUCUCCACAAUACACUUGUUGGACAGUGGCAAAAGACUGGAAAGGUUGUGAAAUACUAAAAGCAAACAGCUGGUAGAACAUCUCAGUGAAUGAGGUGAACUGGCAACAGGUUUGUAACAUGAUUAGUUCUAAAAAAGAGGAUCCAGAGAGGCGGAGUCAUUAAAAAAAUAAAGUUGAGAGCUUUUCUGUUUUUGCAAAGAAUCUGUGGAUUUCAUCAUCCACAAUUUAUAAUAUGGAAAAUCUCUACGCAAGGGGCAAGACUGAAAACCAAUAUUGGCCAGUCGGGAUAUUCAAACCAUCAGACAGCACUGCAUCAACAGACAGGAUUCUAUCAUGGGCAUCACUGCAUGGGCUGAGGAACACUUCCAAGAACCAUCGUCUGUGAACACACUUUAUCACUACAUCCAAGAAUGGGAGCAUGAUGCAUGAUGGGUAACCUGCACAUUGUGUAGAGACCAUUAAUGUUUAACAAUAUAUACAUGUAUAUGUUGCCAAGUAAACAUCUUUUUAUGAGGCUGCCUUUCUUAUUUCAGUAACACAAUGUCAAAUUUGUUACUGCAGAUGACGUUCCCUUCCGCUGUGCAGCUUUGACAACCAAUUGCAAAUGGGUUAUUGGUAAAAUGUAAAUUUUUUCAUCUUUAUGCAAAACAUAUGUAGGGCAGUUGCCUAAUAACGUCUGCAGAUAGCGCUAUCGUAUUGUUCUCAGCAGUUUGGCGAAUAUGGCCGUCUGUCCUAAAAAGGCCAAAGGUCUGUUUUUAUAAUUAUACUAUUUUUUUAAAAACCUUUUUUAUUACUUUUUCUUACACCAUCAUGUCACAGAUUUCUUCAACUGUAUUUUUUUUUAAGUUUUAUAUAUUUCACACUGUUAUAGGUUUCACACAGUUAUAUGGUAUGUUUUCUAAAAGUCUUAUAAGUUUCACAUUGCUACAAGUUUUCACACAGUUAUAUUGUAAGUUUCACACUUUAACACAGACCAUACUCCUAAAUCUUACUACUACAAGUGCAGCGCCCAACACCUCCCACUCUGGGUGCUCGCCAGGUCAAGCCAUCCUUAAACAAACAGGCGCUCAAACAUUGUGCUCUCUCUCUGUUUUACAGCAUUCUGUGUGAUUAUAUGUGCAUUUCAGUUUGCAAAGAAUCAUAUUGUCUUGAUCAUAUUAUAUUUGGUGGUGCUUUACGGUAAGCGUAAUCUGUCACUUCCGGUUAUCAGUGUGCCACGGUGCUCUCUGCUCUGUUCACCUAAACAGUUUUGUAUAUUUUUCACAUCAUUGAUUAUCUACAUAUCUCUACACUAUCCUUAGACUUGUUCUGUCUGUGCGCGAACAUGUCUCUUAACUUUAGUAACCACAAUCUGAUAGUUUCACCAGUUUCUGUUAGUCACACUAAUGGGGGAUUUUCACGCUGAACUGCUGCACUUCCGGUUACGGACUUUGUUGUUCACAGCCAAUUCCGGUGCCACAGCAGAUCGUAGCCCAAAAGUUCACUCUUUUUACAAAGUCUCUUUUAAGCCUACCGAGAAUAACUUUUGAAGAUGUUUACCGCUUAACACACCAACACUCUCCCACAGCUCAUUCCAAACUGGACAAAGGAUACAGUGUCUUUUUUGAGAAAUUCAUCUACAACUACCAAGGUACAGUAAGUAACAUUGAUGUUAGCCAGCUUCAUAUCAGCUAAUGUAACCAGUGUUUACGUUAUAACGUUUGUAGUCAAGGAUAAUACUACAUCUAAUUGAAAUAGUUUAUCCACUUUCUUCAAAUAAUGAUGAGAAUACUUAUUUAUCAUGUAUUCUGUAACGUUAAUGAACUACGUUAGCUAAUGCUAGCAAUAUGUGUAACUAGCCAAGUCUGUCCCUUUUGUCCAAAUGAACACUCCAUAACAUAGUAAACGUGUAGCUACAAUAACUGUUACAUGCACUAAGUCACUCUGGUUGUGUUUGAUGCAUUAAUUAUUCUUUUGUCUGUCAUUGACAGGGAGGUUGCUGUCAGGGCUAGGUGUUUCAGGUUGAUGAAGAAGCGAGAAGAGCCCCAUUAUUAGGGCCCGAGCACGGCAUGCUGUGCGAGGCCUAUUGGAUUUCGAAAGUUUAAAAAUUGUUUUCCUAGUCGAUACAGCCAAUCUCCAGUUGAAGAUAAGUGAAGGAGAACUUGAAACAUCAUGCAGUUGUACAGCAGGGAAAGUUCUGUGCAACCAUCUUGUGGCCCUUCUCGUUCAGAGUGCCCAUUACAGCAUGUUGCAGGUGAGGGCUGUACCACCAACUGUGGCCUGCACAAGCUCUCUGCAAACGUGGCAUAGGCUAAGGACAAAGGAUCCCUCCCUGACCCAGGAUUGUUGUCUCUUGGUGAGAGACUGAAAACCCUAAGACCACAACCACUGAUAUCCUCUGUGCUGCAUGGCUUGUCUGAGCUCUCCAUGGUGGAUUCCAGGUUCGGUCCUGUGCCACGAGGAUCACCCCUAUCCUACCAGUGUCCUGCUGUUGUUUGCACACCCACUGAUCAUGUCCAAAACACGCACGCACCUACAUUCCCCAAACUGCCAUUAGAGGGCUCAACAUUUCCCACUACUUUACCAAAUUAUGAUCCAAAUUCUCAAGAGUUCCUCCAUUUUGACAGCUUAACUGUUACACCUCAGAUAGCAGCUGAGAGGGAGUGAUCAGUGAACAGUCUGAUUGUCCAUUAUGGAAAGCCUUACGAAAGUCUAGAGUGACAGCCAGUCGGUUCUAUGAGGUAUGUCAUGUAGAGGGGAGUCUUCUGGUCAGGCCCUGGCAAAGGUGAGUCAAAGGUGCUGGAGCAAUACUCCAAACAUUUUAAUGUCAGCGUCUCGAGCUGUGGAUUUGUCAUACACCCUGAUGCACCUCACCUUGGGGCUAGCCCUGAUGCAAGAGUGUAUGACCCAAAGGCUGUACCUUGUUUUGGGCUUGCUGAAAUUAAAUGCCCUAACAUCAAGGCCAAUUGGCAGUAACUGGACUGAGUUGGUGUGACUUCAUCACAGACUGAGGAGGACCUAACAGUUGAAAGAUUCUGGAGGGAUGAUGGACUGAUAAAGGAGACGAAAGAGAAAUUGGAUCACUACUUUUUUAGUACCUACAUGAAAAUGCACCUCCAGCACAAUGCUACAUGGUAGCUGAAAUUCCUGUCUUCCUGUACCUCUUAGAUGUAAAAUAUGUGUUUUUCAUUAAGUUCAUUAAGUUUGACUACUGUUUAAAUCUUUAAAUGCUGUUUUCUUUAAAUUAGUUUUUCAUCAACUUUCCGGAUCGAUAUCUAAACCUGUGUAAAACCUACCUACACCAAAUUUUCCAGUUCUACAUUCAGCAGUUUUCUGAAGAUAUUUACUGAGAUAUUUGAAGAUAUUUAGUUUUUUUAUACUAUGGACAGUAAAUGUAGAUUUCCUAGGUAAUGAAAGAAGAUAUCCUGAAAUCCCUCUGUAAAUUAUUUUUCAUCUUAUGUGUUAACAAAAUGA